rnacentral:rRNA from 1 species
GACGAACGCUGGCGGCGUGCCUAAUACAUGCAAGUCGAGCGGGCCUCCGGAGGUGCUUGCACCUCCGGAAGGCCAGCGGCGGACGGGUGAGUAACACGUGGGCAACCUGCCUUUGAGGCCGGGAUAACACCGGGAAACCGGUGCUAAUACCGGAUACGUCCUCUUUCGCGCCUGCGAGAGGGGAGAAAGACGGUCUUUAAGGCCGUCGCUCAAAGAGGGGCCCGCGGCGCAUUAGCUGGUUGGUGGGGUAAGGGCCUACCAAGGCGACGAUGCGUUGCCGACCUGAGAGGGUGAUCGGCCACACUGGGACUGAGACACGGCCCAGACUCCUGCGGGAGGCAGCAGUAGGGAAUCAUCCGCAAUGGGCGAAAGCCUGACGGUGCAACGCCGCGUGAGUGAGGAAGGUUUUCGGGUCGUAAAGCUCUGUUGUGAGGGAAGAACAGCUUCCGGAGGAAAUGCCGGAGGUUUGCCGGUACCUCACCAGAAAGCCCCGGCUAACUACGUGCCAGCAGCCGCAGUAAAAC